GCGUACUUUUGUAGAACGGUCCGGCGAGUUGCGGAUACUGGCAAGGUUAAGCACUUAAGGUGCGGAGCCGAAGGAUACCAAGUCUUAACAGGGCGUUAAGUCAGUAUACGCAGACCGAAACCGGGUGAUCUAUCCAUGUCCAGGUUGAAGUUGUCGUAAAAGACAAUGGAGGACCGAAGCCACAUCCGUUGAAAAGGGUGGGCAUGAGGUGUGGAUAGGGGAGAAAAUUCCCAAUCGAACCCGGAGAUAGCUGGUUCUCCUCGAAAUAGCUUUAGGGCUAGCCUCGAUUUAGUCUUAUGGAGGUAGAGCACUGAAUUUCCGCGGGGGCGUCAAAGCUUACCAAAGAAUAUCAAACUCCGAAUGCCAUGUAGAUGAUGAUCGGGAGUCAGACUGCACGAGAUAAGUUGGGGCAGUCAAAAGGGAAAGAGCCCAGACCACCGGCUAAGGUCCCCAAAGUGCGUGUUAAGUGGAAAAGGAUGUGGGAUG
rnacentral:rRNA from 1 species